UACGUAGGGGGCUAGCGUUGUCCGGAAUCAUUGGGCGUAAAGAGCGUGUAGGCGGCCCGGUAAGUCCGCUGUGAAAGUCGGGGGCUCAACCCUCGAAUGCCGGUGGAUACUGUCGGGCUAGAGUGCGGAAGAGGCGAGUGGAAUUCCUGGUGUAGCGGUGAAAUGCGCAGAUAUCAGGAGGAACACCGAUUGCGAAGGCAGCUCGCUGGGACGCCACUGACGCUGAGACGCGAAAGCGUGGGGAGCAAACAGG
rnacentral:rRNA from 1 species